rnacentral:rRNA from 1 species
UGCAUAUCAAUAAGCGGAGGAAAAGAAACUAACAAGGAUUCCCCUAGUAACGGCGAGCGAAGCGGGAAGAGCUCAAAUUUGAAAGCUGGCACCUCCGGUGUCCGCGUUGUAAUCUCGAGACGUGUUUUCCGUGCGGCUCUAUGGACAAGUCCCUUGGAAUAGGGCAUCGUAGAGGGUGAGAAUCCCGUACUUGCCAUGGAAGAACCGUGCUUUGCGAUACACGCUCUAAGAGUCGAGUUGUUUGGGAUUGCAGCUCAAAAUGGGUGGUAGACUCCAUCUAAAGCUAAAUAUCGGGGAGAGACCGAUAGCGAACAAGUACCGUGAGGGAAAGAUGAAAAGCACUUUGGAAAGAGAGUUAAAAGUACGUGAAAUUGUCGAAAGGGAAGCACUUGAAGUCAGCCAUGCUGCUUGAGACUCAGCCUGGCCUUUGGGCUUGGUGUAUUUCUCGGUGGCAAGCCAGCAUUGGUUUGGGUCGUCGGAGAAGCGCAUAGGGAAUGUAGCGUCUCCGGACGUGUUAUAGCCUUAUGCAGGAUACGACGACCUGGAUCAAGGAACGCAGUGUGCCCUCUGGGCGGGUCUUCGGACACCUUCACACUUAGGAUGCUGGCGUAAUGGCUUUAAGUGGCCCGUCUUGAAACACGGACCA